rnacentral:rRNA from 1 species
CAUAUCCAUUAAGCGGAGGAAAAGAAACCACAGGGAUUGCCUUAGUUACGGCGAGUGAAGCGGCAACAGCUCAAAUUUGAAAUCUGGCGCAAGCCCGAGUUGUAAUUUGGAGAGCAUGCUUCUGGGCAGCGGCCGGUUUAAGUUUCUUGGAACAGAACGUCACAGAGGGUGAGAAUCCCGUAUGUGAUCGGCUAGCACCCUCUACGAAGCUGCUUCGAAGAGUCGAGUUGUUUGGGAAUGCAGCUCAAAAUGGGAGGUAAAUUUCUCCUAAGGCUAAAUAUCGGCCAGAGACCGAUAGCGCACAAGUAGAGUGAUCGAAAGAUGAAAAGCACUUUGGAAAGAGAGUUAAAAAGCACGUGAAAUUGUUGAAAGGGAAGCGCUUGCUGCCAGACUUGCCGGCGGUGUUCCGCCGGUCUUUUGACCGGUCCACUCGCCGCCGACAGGCCAGCAUCAUCCGGGGCCGCCGGAGAAAGGUGUCGGGAAUGUACGUUCCCCCGGGACUGUUAUAGCCCUUCACAGAAUACGGCGCGCCUCGGGUGAGGUCCGCGCUUCGGCUAGGAUGCUGGCGUAAUGCCUGUAAGCGGCCCGUCU